AUAGGGCUUACUGUAUAGUCUAGGCUGUCCUGGAGCUCUUAUGUAGCCUAGGCUAGCCUUGAAUUUGUGACUCUCCUGCCUCAGCCUUCCAAGAACUAAGAUGAUGGGCUUGUACUACCAUAUCUGAGUGUUCUCUCUCUCUCUCUCUCUCUCUCUCUCUCUCUCUCUCUCUCUCUCUCUCUCUCAUGCCACUGUGAGUGGGAUGAUGCGUGUACACGUGUGUGGAGGCCAGCGAUCAACCUUAAUAUUUAUAUCCUCCAGUUUCAGAAGCUGACCAUUUAUGUUCUGUCACCAGGACCUGAGGCUCUCUGAUUAGGCUACAGUGGCCGCUCAGCACUCCAGAGAUCCUCCUAGCUCUGCUCCCCAGCACUGGAAGUACAGGUGUAGGCCACCAUACCUGGCUUUGUAUGUGGGCACUGGGCUUGGGACUUAGGUCUUCAUAGCGAUUGCUUUAGUCACUGAACCGCUUCCCAGUUCCAUGGUGUUUUCAUUCUUAAGUCUGUCCUUCCUUUCUUUUAGAAUUUGUUCGUUCAUCCGUCCAUCCAUCCAUCCAUCCAUCCAUCCAUCCAUCCAUCACAUCCAUCUAUCUAUCUACCCAUCCUGCCUGCCUGCCUGUAUGUCUGAGCCUGUACACAUGCCAUAGUGCAUGUGUGGAGAUGACAGAGAUUCUCUUUCCACCUGGGGAGUGAAGUCAGAUCUUCAGGUUUGGCAGUAACCACCAUUGAGCCACCAGUGGGGUCAUUGGCCUUGCUGUAUUUUAAGAAAACAUUCUUUGGUAGGUUGCAUGAGUGUCUCAUCAACCAUUGUCUUUCAUUGUCCUGGGAAGAAUUUCCAUCUCAUAGCCUGGUCCCUUGGCCACUGUGAUUAUUCUUAAUGACAUCAUCUCUGGUCUGGGCCACUUGCUCUCAGAACUCAUGCCAGAUACAAACUAGACAUUGGGAUGGAGACCGGAAGGAAGUUUGCUCUGCCGUGGAUGCUGUUGGACUGAGAAACAGACAAGACAGUUUCUGCAGCGAGUGUGGGUGAGUAGGUCACCUCUGAUGAAUGCUUCCCCUGUCAGGAACUGAGAUAUACUAGAGACCUUUGUGCCCUUCUCUUUGCCUACCAGACUAUUGAAACACUGGACCCCAAGAAAUUGAAUUUGGCAGGAGUCUCUGCUGGGAGAAGAAAAAGACUGAAGCCAGCAGUGGAGUUUAUCUGCCUCAAGAUACCUCACACAGUUCUGAUGACAUGUCAGACCACCUUGUAGGAGACUAGAACCCAGAUGAUGUUGGGCCAGUGAUGGGUGGGAGGGACCACACUUGACCAUGUUUAGCUGUGCAUACCUCUUAUUUGCUAUGAAAACCUGAACUUCAUGUUGGGACCCCAACAUGGACCGAGAUAAGAUGGCACUAGGUCUCUUUACUCACCUUGCCCAUGAGAUCACAUUGGAUAACAUUGAAUACAUCUCUUUGCCUGCUUUCCUGUGAGUUAACUGCUUCUGUUGAGGGUGGGGGCCACAAGUCUGGCUGGUUAGGACUUGCUUGGUCUGGGCUCUGACACUAACAACUCAGGCAAUGCUGUUUUUGUCCAUGUGCAGACUCCACUUCUCAAGCCCCUGUAGCUUUCUGCCUGGAGGGCCCCAGGCCUGGGAGAGUCUGCACAGCAUCACAGUCACACCUCUGCUUUCGUUUAAAGGAUUCGCCUAGCACCAACGCACCAGUGUGCAACCACCCGAUCUCGUCUGCUAGAGACCCAGCGGGUUAGAGUCUACUCUGUGUUUUCUGCCUCAUCCCAUUCACUGAAACACACCGAUACGGCUUCGCUCCUAUCAUCUAUCAUCUUUCCCAUAAGGCCAUGUUUAAGGAUGUUGGCCUGCCACGUCAGUUAUCCUGUAAGGUACACGGCUCUGCUUCUAACUUAGCUCUGCUAAGCCAUCAUGAUUCUGUGAAACCAUGGAAACUUCACUGAAGUUGAAAGAGAGAAAGAAACACUUAAUUCUUUGGCUAUAAGACAUUCUUCAGAGGGUGUGAAUUGGGUGCCUCAAGGGUCGGAGGAUGUGGGCUUUUGGGGUGCGGGAUGAAGUACGGGGGGGAGAAGGAAGUGGCAUGAAGAGAAGAGAGGAGGCCAGCAGUGGGAGAUUGCAGUUCUGCCAAGUGUUGCCCUUGGGUCUCCCACCUUCUGACUGAGAGGGCUUUGAUUGUCCAUCAUGGCUGUCAUCCUUCAGGAGACUCCUAGGAAGUCCCAUUUUCAAGGUCUUCAUGGGUCCAUCCAUACUUCAGACUGAGAAUCAUGACUGUGCACCUACUGGGCAUGGGGUGGAACAAACAUGUAUUAGAAGAUCCUGGAACUCUCCAGUCUCAGCUCGUUGUCUCUAGCUGGUGAGGUGAGAAUCCUUUCAAGUGCUGCCAGCCUCUGUCAGAAUAAGAACAUCCUGGUGAUAACUCUGACAACCUCCUUCCCUGUGGAAAGUCGAGGCUUGCUUCUGUUGGGUAUGCAUUCCCAUGGGCAUUAGUCCUGUGAAUUUGUCUAAAUUCCUUUUAUGAUGUGACUUUAACAUAUCGCCUUACCUGAUCACUUCUAAACACAACUGGUGUUUCAGAUGAACUUACUUGUAAUAGAUUAUUGACCUUAGCCAUGUUAGGGGAAUUUUGACAAAGAAAUGAUUCUGAGUUUGACACUGUUGACCUAGAAACAGGUUAAGAGAUAAGCUAAAUCUAUACCCAUAGAAGUAAGAGACAGAAACACUGCUUAUGUAGAAUAGCCUAGAAAAAAAACCACCACAAAGAUUUCACAGUGAAAAAAAAAAUUACUGUUUCAUGAUUCCUCUUGUAAGUCAGUGCUAUGGAAAGUGGGUAUUGAAAUGUUUUGGGUCUUGUUUUUAAUCACAUAAAUAUACAAAAACAAACAUUUAAUGUUGGGAAA